GAGCGCAGCCCCGCCCGCCGCAGCUCCCGCCGCUGAGUUUGCUCCGGUCCCUCAAUUGUUUCGCUCUCACAAGAACUUUGUUUACAGUCCCUGGUGCAGCGGGCGGCAUCCCCCUCUUGUGCUUGCUCCGGGCUGGUGUUCGCCGCAGUCCCGCCCGGCACUCGGGAGGAAACUUCCAUGCUAGAAUAUUGUAACCUCCAAUUCAUCAUUCGGCAGCAUCUGACACUUCAAAGCCUGGAGCAGUGCUUACUGCUGCGUGACUCUCCCUUGAAUUGACAUACGAGACAUCUCAAGCCGUCUUCCUCUGCUUACUGAGUCAAGGGAUUUGUUCCGAUGGAUUUCUCCUGGACCUGUGCAAUGUGUGGUCAGCAGUGCCUGCUCUAGCCGAAGAACUGACAGAGACAACACAAUCAAGAUGACAAACGAACCUAUUAAAGAGAUUCUGGGUGCUCCAAAGCAUCCUGGUACUGUAACCAUGGAGAAGUGUAAUAACAAUGACUGUGUGAUAACCACCAUCCCUCUUGUCAGUGAGUGCCAGCUGACCGCAGCGACAGGGGGAGCAGAACUCUCCUGUUACCGCUGUACCAUUCCCUUCGGGGUGGUUAUCCUCAUAGCUGGCAUCGUGGUUACUGCUGUGGCAUACAGCUUCAAUUCCCAUGGAUCGAUCAUCUCAGUGUUUGGAUUAGUCCUUUUGUCAUCAGGACUCCUUUUGCUGGCUUCUAGUGCAGUGUGCUGGAAAAUCAGGCAGCAAAACAAGAAAGCAAAGAGGCGGGAGAGCCAGACAGCGCUUGUGGCAAAUCAGAGAACCUUGUUUGGUUAAAGACAACCAGGGGAAGGCUGGACAGUAGGCGGAACCUUUGUAAGUCAACUUGACUAUUUAUCAAUAGGAGAGAUUGCAGGUUUUAAUUUAACUUUGGAAAUGAACUGAAGUGGAAAUGGAACGGUUUAAGAAAUACUCUUUGAAACUCUGCAAGUGCUCUUAAUAUUUUUCUUACUGCAGACUUGGUAGCAAUUCUUUCCAAGACGGAGGAAAACCCACUUUUCCUGUACAGAAAGCGGUGUCAUCCUGACUGCCAUCAUCACAACUGCAUUCUCCAACAUGCUGAUCGUGUUGGAAAGGGACUUGUGAGAACUAAGAGAAUAAUUUGAACUGACUUGAAAUGCCAGAGAUCUCCUUAAAAUACACACUGUGACAUUGGACCAAGGGAGAAGUCGUAGCAUUUGAGUGGAAUUUUGCAGGCUGCUGAGGAGAGAAUUGCAGGGGGGAUGCAGUGAUUUCCACUACACACGUGGAGCAGCUCAGCCCCAUCAUUCCCAGUCUGUUGUCCUCUGCAGAAGUCUUUGCCAUACGCGGGUCGUCCCUUCGCCACUGCUGUGAUAGAGGCGAGCUUGCGUGCGGCGUGAGGAAGGGAAGCAGAGGUGCAAGGUGAGGCUCUGCUCCACGUCAAAAGAAAAGGCCAAACUCAGUGGAACAGAGGCAGUGGGUUUUCUGGAGCAUUUUCUUUUUCCCAAGAAAAGUACGUAAGAGCCAGAGUUGCUCAGCUACUACUAGAGGAGGUUUCCUUUCCCUCAUCUCUACUCUCUUUUAUAUUUACCUUGCAUAUACAAGGACACGACAGAGUGCCUGCACCACCCUCUGCCUUGCCAUGUGUGGGCAUCUCGGCAUUAAGCAGCAUGUAAGCAGUGACAGCCAGCAUUGUGCUGACCCUAGCCGUGAUGCCCUAGCAAGCAAAGCUUCAGCUACUGCAUGUUGUCCCAGGAUACCAGCUAGCAGACAGGUUGAGAGGCCUCUAGCUAAUACAGGGCUGCCAUAGCACACACUGCUGAGCUCAGCAUCAUCAGCUCUAUCCCAGUGGGACAAUGUACAUGCACAAGCAUCUCCGUAUCAAUCAAUGAGUGAAAGUCUGCACAGGAAUUCAGUCUUGUUUGUCCUUUAUUCAGAGAAGAAAACCAGUAACUUUAUGGAGAAAAAUCCCAGCACCUGGUCUUGGUGUCCUGCAGGAGCAAGGCAGAGGCUGUGAACAGUUUAGUCAGAGACCUUUAUGCUGUUGAAGAUGUUUUUACAUGUUUCAUCACUGAAUUGCCACAAGGCCUUAGAAACUGGCACAGACUUCACCACUCUGAUUUGUGUGCAUUGAUUUUGGGACAAUCUGAAGUAGCAGUAGCAUCUUUUCUGAAUGACCAAUGACAACAUCCAACACAAGUCUUACAGUCUAUGUUUUUUCUUCCUGCAAAUCUACAUAUUACAGACUUUUUCAUUACUAUCUCUCUCCCUGCACCCCUGGUGCUGAUUCCAAUAUAGGAGCAAUACCUUCUUUUUAGCCCUUAAACCCCCAGUCAUUCUGAGGGAGGUGUUACAUGAGUGCAGUGUGGCAGGCUUGGCACCUUCAUUUUUCCAGAAACUGGUGAUAUUGUUAGAUCUGAAAUGUUUUUUACAAGGGCACAUCUGCAAUGCUUUUUACAAGGGUCAACCCCCUCAAACUGGUCAGCUACAAACAGCAAAAUUUCUGCUUCAGCUUCUGAACCCCGUGACCUAAUCUGGAUAGAUUUGGGGUUUCAUGCCUGGAUGCUGGGCCAGGCAACCCACCAAGUCUUUGCUACAAAGCCAUUUGGAACUCCACAACCACUGUUUGGUGUUUCUCAUGGGAACCUGAGAGGCAGAAGUCAGCGUGGAGGAUGCAACCCUGUGGAGAUCACAAUGACUUUCCAGCUCAGAAACACCUUCCCUUCUGAUGUGAAAACGCUUUGAAUGCGACAAAUGGUAUUUCAGUUCUGGGAGAGGUUGGGUGGGAGCUGAUGCAAAUUUUAUUGUCGCAAUUGCUUGUCUCUCCCUUCCUGAAAGCUCUGGCAGCAUUGCACAAGCAAAAUUGCCCUCACAAGGAUAGAAAAUUAUCUAAUAGGGGAAUUGUGCUGGUGCACCGGGCAAACGUUAUGGUGAUCUUAAAUAAUAAUUUCAAACCCUAAGCACAGGAAAUUGUGUCUGUAACUACACCCUGUAUUGCUAUUGUACACAAAGCCAGUUAUAGCCCGGGACAGUAUUUAAAAUAAUAAUCAGUUUAGGAUGACAAUGCUCAGUAUUUGUUCAAGUCAAAACGCCCAAUUUACGAUUCCCCAGUCACUAACGUGUCGUGGUUUGUACGUGACAGUGGCUCUAAUACCAGAAUUUGCCAAAAAAAUAAAAAGAGAGAGAAGGAAAGGGUAGAUUCAUAGACUUGUGUCAAGAAUUAUGUUUCUCUGCCUUGGACACUCGGGAGAGCUCCUGUUACCAAACAGCGAAUGUACAACACUACUGCAGCUCGACAGAACAGGAACCGCGCUCAGAGUACGGAAUGAAGAAAGGCUUGAGAGUCUCAUCAGGAUCCGGAAGGGUCAGGCCAGGAACAAGCCCUCUGGAAUAUCCCGUAUUCUUGCCUCAGCUUUGCUUAUCCGGAGCCAAAGUCCAGGGCUAAUGCUCCUUUAAUAUCUGAUGUGGAGCUUGUUGCAUACUAUUAGCAGGUUUCACCUGAUCUGUUUUUACAAUGGGCUCUGAAAUAAUAAGAACAGAACAAUAUUGGCAGCCAUCAUUUUGCAUAUGUAUUUCCAAUACCUCGGAUGCCUUUAAACUAUAGGAUGUUUUAGCUAUAUCAGUAUAAAUCUUUGUCAAUUACAAAGGGCUUUGAUAUGUAAAAGUACAUUAACAUACCAAGAAUUGCACUGUAUGAUGUGAAACAUUAUAUAAAUCCUGGAAAAGUUCUAUGUGUAGACUAAAUCUUACAGACUAAAAUGUAUGGGAGAACAAUGGUCUUUUUUAAAAUGCAGAAUCAACUUGAAUUUUUGGCUUUUAUUCAGGUUGUUGAUGUCACUAUUAACAUAACAGAGGAGCUAAUCCUUCCUCUUGUGAGCAGGCAGUUGGAGUCCUAUUGUCCUAACUCCUGCAUCCAGAAAUUUGCAUUUGUGGCAAACAUGGUAUUUUUGCAAAACA